AAAGUACUCCCUCCAUCCCACAAUUCUUGUCUUAGAUUUGUCUAGAUACGGAUGUAUCAAGUCACAUUUUAGUAUUAGAUACAUCUGUAUCUAGACAAAUCUAAGACAAGAAAUUUGGGACAGAGGGAGUAGUUG
rnacentral:pre_miRNA from 1 species